rnacentral:antisense_RNA from 1 species
UUCCUCAUGGUCUCGGAGGGGCUCCUCCGCAGCCCGGGAGGGGAGGCACAGGGGGUCCCCGGGCGGGGGAGACCACCCGGGGCCGAGGGCAGCUUCGACCGCGGAAACGGAGGAGUGGGAGUGUGAGGAGAAAUAUGCAAUGAUGACAUUUCCAAGAAGUGAUGGCAUCUGGCACUAAGGACAAAGAAUGGGAUUUUGCCACAGGGAUCUUAUUCUCCCACAUGUUCUGUCUGAAGGAGAAAGUUAUCUGAGGCCUUAUAUGAUGCAAAACUUUGGCCUCAAAGAAAUUAAAUCCCUUGUCCAAGGUUACAUAGCUGCCCCUGGCAAACACCAUUCUACUUUCUGUCUCUAUGAAUUUGACUACUCGAAGUACCUCAUGUGAAAUGUUGGUGCCAAAUGAACUUUUCUGGUUCUUCUGAAUAUGCCACUGUUGCUGCAGAAAUGUCACUGCUAGAGAAUAGAAGACUAUUAUUACAAAAGGUAUUUGAGACUGACUGAAUCAGGUCUGGAACAUUAUUGAAAUGAGACCCACAAAGGAAGAGAUACUGAGGUGGUGACCAGAUAGAUAUAAACGGGCUGUGGAAAAAGAGAAUGCAUGGCCAAAAACGGUGGUGCUCUCUGUCCAAAAACUAAGGCCCUAUGACCAUGAAUGAAGCCAGAGGGCAGGUAGGAACAGAUCAUUUGCUCCAGGAGAAGCUGGUUGCCAUGUCUUGAGGACAGUAAACUCUCUGGGGAGGUUCCUGUGGUAAGGAACCAGGGCUCCUGGUAAUAGCCUCUGAGUGAGCCACCUUGAGAAUGGAUUGUCCAGCCCCAGUCAAGCUUUCAGAUGACUGUAGCCCCUGCCAGUGUCUUCACCACAAUCUCAUGAGAUCCCAAGCUACAACCACUCAGUUAAGUUAUUCCAAAAUUCCUGACUCACAGAAAUUGAGAUACAGAAGAGGUCACAGUUAAGAUCUUGAUGUUCUAUCUUGACCCAUAAUAUAGGAACUUCACCUUUUCAGAAGCACCAGGGAGAGCUGCCUGUGCCUGGCAGAAGCUGCCCAUGCCCCACUGAUAACCCUACAGUACUUCCUGUUCUGCUCAGUACUCCUGCUUCUUUCUACAAACAACUGUGAUUCUCCACCUGGGAGCUUCCUCUGGCCGCAGGAGCCUGCUCACCUGAUUGGGACACUCCAGCAGUACUGGCUCAUAGGUGGAAAGGACUUGCCUUGUCGCUGAUGAGACUUUGGACUUGGACUUUUGAGUCAAUGCUGGAAUGAGUUAAGACUUUGGGGGACUGUUGGAAGGGCAUGAUUGUGUUUUGAAUUGUGAGGACAUGAGAUUUGGAAGAGGCUAAGGGCAGUGUCCCCACCUAAAUCUCAUCUUGAAUUGUAGUUCCCAUAAUCACCACGUGUCAUGGGGUGGAGCCGGUGGAGAUAAUCGAAUCAUGGGAACACUUUCCCCCAUGCUGUUAUUGUGAUUGUGAGUUAUCACGAGAUCUGAUGGUUUUAUAAAGGCCUUCCCUCUUCACUGGGCACUCAUUUUCUCCUUCCUGCCACCAUGUGAAGAAGGACAUGCUUGCUUCUCCUUCUGCCAUGAUUACAAGAACACACUCAGAAAUUUUCUCAACACAAUUUCUAUGCAGAGAAGAGAUGUGGGACAGAUUUGAAUUGCUGUCAUACUUGUAUGAACCCAAGACAUUUUCCAAAACCAAGGAUAAAGACAGCAAUUUCUAUGACUCUGGCAUUUUACAUACAUGCACUGUUUGCAAGUGUUCUUGUGUUCUGUGCCUUAAACUUUCUCUGUUGCAGCUUAUGAACUGAAUUAAAGAUAAUCGCAAGCC